UGUUAUAGGCUUACGUUAUCUCGUAUAUAUUCAGGAAUAGGGCCUGAACGUUUCUACCCGGCUACCGUAAAAAGCUGGACUACGAGCUUGUAGGUCACCGGU
rnacentral:ncRNA from 1 species